ensembl:lncRNA
GUGUCAUGGGGUCAUGGAUGCUGGUGUGGAUUCUGUGCGCCACAGUCACUCUGAUGCCUGUGUGUCUUCACGGAGCAAUAUCGGUCCACUUCAAGACCGGACGGCCUCUCUAUGUGGCUCUCGGCGAAACUCUUGUUUUGGAAGCCGUAUUCAAGAAGGACUCAGGUGACAAAAUAGACAUGGUGUCGUGGGACCGCGAGGGAGCAAAGGACAAUGUCAGACUGUCACAUGGAAACAGAAUAUCUUUGGAGAAUGGAGAUACACUUCUGCGGGUCACUGAUGUUGCAGAAGAGGACAUUGCGACCUACAAAGUCACCGUUACAGACAGUAACGGAUACCAGCAACAAGACUCCAUAGAUGUUAAAAACAUAGUUUCAGGGGAACCUCCAAAGGCGUCAAUUACACGUGUGCUGGAGUGUGUCGUGGAUAAUCAUGGCUUGGCCCAGUGGGACAGCCCUCAGUUUUCAUGGCUGGUUGAUGGUGUUAAAGUAACCAAUCAAUCCGCACUGUUAACAAACGGCAGUAGACUAGAUAUCUCUGGGGUUAAGGGUGUUAACUACACCUGCAUCAUCAAGAGCAGCCUGGGGACGCUCACAACGCAUUUUGAAAUGCCAACAGAAUCUGAGCGCUGUUGUGCUGGACUGAUUGCAGUUGGAGUGAUAACAGGAAUAGCACUUGUGGCCGGAUCAAUUUUCCUGAUGAAGUACAAAAAAACCUCUAAACAUGAAGCUGUCUCUACUAAGUCAACAUAGAAGAUUGUAUUAUAUUUAUUUACAUGUUAAUGUACCUGUAAACAUUUUAAAUAGAUCAUUUUGUUUUGUUCUAUUGGAUAAAGUUAUUGCUAUAUGUCUUGUUCAUUGAUUCGUUCUGUCCAUUUGACCAAACUAUAAAAAUGUAAGCUGUUAAAAUGGAUCUUUAAGAUAUAAGCUGCAAAAAAUGGAUAUCAUUGCUAUUUAUUUUCUCUCUACCUCAUUUGUUCUAUUUAGUUUGCUGUUUGAGUUUCUGCAGUUUUUUUGCAUUUGCAUUCAAGUUUGUUCAGAGAAUUAAAGUGUCCAAACUGAUCUUGAGCGUGGAGCAUGAUUUAGAGAAGAUCUGUUUGUUUGUUUGUUUGUUUGUUUGUUGUGCUCGGCGUUCAGACCAGUCCUGUAGAGACACAAACAACAUCGCUCUAGUGUUUUUCAGGAUAAAUGCAUCUCUUUCAGGAACUUAUGAGUGGUGAGUUAUGAAAAGCAUUCAGGGAUCUCACUCAUAAAGUUACUGUGUCUGAACUUUGGUCACGUUUAAUGCAUGAGCACGACUACAGCGAUUCAUUAGAGGACUGUCCUGCUUCUGUACAUCUGCUGUGAGUUCUUGAUAUGUUUAUGUAGAUUGUUUUUCAUGGCUCUCUGGAAUUCUUUAUUCUGAUUGGCCAGCUGCAGAUUGUGUUUUUAGUUUUAUUUCUUAUUUUAAUAAAUGCUGCUCUGUUUAACAUUCUAUUCAUCGAUGAAUCCAGAAAAAUGUACAACGGUUUACACAUUAAUAAAAAAAUUAUCAUAAUAAGAAAUAUUUGUUGAGCAGCAAAUGACAAUUUGAUAUUAUGGUUUUACGGAUAUUUAAAUUACUUUUUAAGAUUUAAAUUUUUUGGCUACCAUAAACAAUCUACAGAAG